GGCGGCGUGCUUAACACAUGCAAGUCGAACGGUGAUGCCCAGCUUGCUGGGUGGAUUAGUGGCGAACGGGUGAGUAACACGUGAGUAACCUGCCCUUGACUUCGGGAUAACUCCGGGAAACCGGGGCUAAUACCGGAUAUGAGCUACCUUCGCAUGGGAGUGUGUGGAAAGUUUUUCGGUCAAGGAUGGGCUCGCGGCCUAUCAGCUUGUUGGUGGGGUAAUGGCCUACCAAGGCGACGACGGGUAGCCGGCCUGAGAGGGCGACCGGCCACACUGGGACUGAGACACGGCCCAGACUCCUACGGGAGGCAGCAGUGGGGAAUAUUGCACAAUGGGCGAAAGCCUGAUGCAGCGACGCCGCGUGAGGGAUGAAGGCCUUCGGGUUGUAAACCUCUUUCAGCAGGGAAGAAGCGCAAGUGACGGUACCUGCAGAAGAAGCGCCGGCUAACUACGUGCCAGCAGCCGCGGUAAUACGUAGGGCGCAAGCGUUGUCCGGAAUUAUUGGGCGUAAAGAGCUCGUAGGCGGUUUGUCGCGUCUGGUGUGAAAACUCGAGGCUCAACCUCGAGCUUGCAUCGGGUACGGGCAGACUAGAGUGCGGUAGGGGAGACUGGAAUUCCUGGUGUAGCGGUGGAAUGCGCAGAUAUCAGGAGGAACACCGAUGGCGAAGGCAGGUCUCUGGGCCGCAACUGACGCUGAGGAGCGAAAGCAUGGGGAGCGAACAGGAUUAGAUACCCUGGUAGUCCAUGCCGUAAACGUUGGGCACUAGGUGUGGGGCUCAUUCCACGAGUUCCGUGCCGCAGCAAACGCAUUAAGUGCCCCGCCUGGGGAGUACGGCCGC
rnacentral:rRNA from 1 species